AGGUUCUAUAUUCAAUAAUGAUUUUAAAUUGCAAAUUUAAAGGUGAAUUUUACUUCUA
rnacentral:tRNA from 1 species